UCUCCGUAGGUGAACCUGCGGAGGGAUCAUUACUGAGUGAGGGCCCUCGUGGUCCGACCUCCAACCCAUUGUUGUCCGACUCUGUUGCCUCGGGGGCGACCCUGCCGUUCGCGGCGUGGGGCCCCCGGAGCCCAUCAAACCCUGCGUAACUAAGUCGUCGGAGUUUAAACAAAUUAAACAAAACUUUCAACAACGGAUCUCUUGGUUCGGGCAUCGAUGAAGAACGCAGC
rnacentral:misc_RNA from 1 species